rnacentral:rRNA from 1 species
GCAUAUCAAUAAGCGGAAGGAAAAGAAACCAACAGGGAUUGCCCUAGUAACGGCGAGUGAAGCGGCAACAGCUCAAAUUUGAAAUCUGGCGUCUUUGGCGUCCGAGUUGUAAUUUGCAGAGGGCGCUUUGGCAUUGGCAGCGGUCCAAGUUCCUUGGAACAGGACGUCACAGAGGGUGAGAAUCCCGUACGUGGUCGCUAGCCUUUACCGUGUAAAGCCCCUUCGACGAGUCGAGUUGUUUGGGAAUGCAGCUCUAAAUGGGAGGUAAAUUUCUUCUAAAGCUAAAUACUGGCCAGAGACCGAUAGCGCACAAGUAGAGUGAUCGAAAGAUGAAAAGCACUUUGGAAAGAGAGUUAAAAAGCACGUGAAAUUGUUGAAAGGGAAGCGCUUGCAGCCAGACUUGCCUGUAGUUGCUCAUCCGGGUUUUUACCCGGUGCACUCUUCUAUAGGCAGGCCAGCAUCAGUUUGGGCGGUUGGAUAAAGGUCUCUGUCAUGUACCUCUCUUCGGGGAGAACUUAUAGGGGAGACGACAUGCAACCAGCCUGGACUGAGGUCCGCGCAUCUGCUAGGAUGCUGGCGUAAUGGCUGUAAGCGGCCCGUCUUGAAACACGGACCAAGGAGUCUAACAUCUAUGCGAGUGUUUGGGUGUCAAGCCCGAACGCGUAAUGAAAGUGAACGGAGGUGGGAACCUUUCGGGGGUGCACCAUCGACCGAUCCUGAUGUCUUCGGAUGGAUUUGAGUAAGAGCAUAGCUGUUUGGGACCCGAAAGAUGGUGAACUAUGCUUGAAUAGGGUGAAGCCAGAGGAAACUCUGGUGGAGGCUCGCAGCGGUUCUGACGUGCAAAUCGAUCGUCAAAUUUGGGCAUAGGGGCGAAAGACUAAUCGAACUAUCUAGUAGCUGGGUUCCUGCGA